CCAUCUUGCACCAGCCUCCAUUUUGUGGGGUUCUCCGAAGAGCAGCCCCUCUCGGAAUCCUGAUAAACAUGCCGAGGUUUGAACCCCUGGAAGGUUGCCUCCGUCUCGCAGCCUUGAGCAAAAGAGGGCAGCUGAUAGAGAGAGAGUGUGAGCCGGAGGAGGAGCAAUGGGGGAAAGACAGACAGACUGCGCCCAGUCCUACCACCCCAAGAUCGCAACCCGAAUGAAAAUCAUGAGUUGGAUGCUGACCCACCCAGGCACCUCCAAGACAUUCUUAUAGACACUAGAGCAACUCCUUCAAUCCUCAACUCCUGGAUCUAUUUUCUAGUCCCCUGCCUCAAGAAUACAAAAGCACUUAAUCAUGAUCAGGGUCACUAAUCAGCCACCAACUGUCCCAUUAUCUCAACCCCUAGAGUUCAUUCUUGGCACUCAACAAGGCAAAACAAAAUGGUACCCUCAUCACCAGCACAUUUUUUUUUAUUUUUUUAAGUAGUCUCCAUACCCAACGUGGCGUUCAAACUCAGGACCCUAAGUCACUACUCUACCAACUGAGCCAACUGGGCACAUCAACUUCCAGCACUUUUGUUAGGAAGAAAUUUUUUGCAGGCUUACCAGGCCUAUAUUUCCUAUGACUAAACAAAAAUGAAGUACUGCUA